rnacentral:rRNA from 1 species
UACGUAGGGCGCAAGCGUUGUCCGGAAUUAUUGGGCGUAAAGAGCUCGUAGGCGGCUUGUCACGUCGGGUGUGAAAGCCCGGGGCUUAACCCCGGGUCUGCAUUCGAUACGGGCUGGCUAGAGUGUGGUAGGGGGAGAUCGGAAUUCCUGGUGUAGCGGUGAAAUGCGCAGAUAUCAGGAGGAACACCGGUGGCGAAGGCGGAUCUCUGGGCCAUAACUGACGCUGAGAAGCGAAAGCAUGGGGGAGCGAACAGG